CAUAAUUAUGGGUCAAAGGUGGGAGGGGCUGAAUUAAUGCAGCACAAUAAUACUGAUCAAGAUGGGCUGUACACUGUCCAGAAACAGCAGCCAGCAGCUCAGGAGUUCAGCUCAUAACUCAGUUGUCCCAACUGUUCCAUUGGACCCCUGGAACCUAUUGGACUCCACCAUAGCAUCAAUGGGUGAACCACCUCCCUACACUCAAAUACCAGAGAAUGGACAUGUUUCACUCAUGCAUGGAAGUCCAUUGAAGCCAGAUGAACACACCAGUGUACUAAAUAACUCUACAAGCAGACAUUUUCUCAACUCCAGCAUUAACAGUACGGACAACAUGUUGUCCGAGCCAACAGAUGCGUUUCAUCCCACAAGAACAAGCUCUCCAGCUGUAGCGACUGCACCACCAGAAGAAUUGUUUCCCCCAUACCUGGAGUCUACAUCAGUGCAUGAACCUUUCCCCCCACACCUCCCCCCAUUGACCAGAUUGACCAGCCAUGAGGAGCAGUCUCUUGCAGUCAAUGAGCAAAGCAACAAUACCUCACACCUUUCCCCAUUGACCAGACUGACUAGCUACCAGGAGCAGUCUCCAAUCAAUACGGAGCAAAGCAACAGUACAGUAACCCCAAGCCUCCCACCACCAUUGAACAGACUGCAGCCUCCUGCAGACAAUGAGCACAGCACAGCCAGCUCUGCAGAACACAGACACAAGAGACGGCGAAGGAAAAGGAAAAGAGGACACAGUUGGCAUGGAGAGAGAGUGGCACCAGCUCCUAUGCAACAGGAUGCCAGUGAUCAUCACUGAACAAUGAAUUUUGUUUACAUUUACCCUUACAUAAGACUGAGCCUGGAGGUGUGGCUAAAGAUCUUAAUAAUUAUGUUGCUGUAUGUAUUGAUUGUUUUGGCUGUGAGAGUGGCCUCAUCUCUGGAGACUCUAAGCAACGGCUGGGAUCCACUGGACUCUGUGCAGGAUGAUUAUGUGUCCAUAGCGUAUCCAGAUGGUGGUGUUAACCCAAGACUAGUCAACUAUGUUAUCAACAGCACUGUACCUUCUACUGGGAGGCCGUACACAAUGUAUGUGGCUGUGUUAAACAGUGGUCUCCCAAGCUCAUUCACGCUGGAGUUACCCUCUCAAGGUUGUUGCCAUCCUAUGAAGACGUCUAGCACAGCAAGACUCCACAACUGUAGUUAUGCUACCAACGCUGGCUUCUUCAACACAAAGGAUGGAUGUUGCAUAGGCAACCUCAUCACUCAUGGCAAAAUAGUGCAAGUUUUCUCUCUGAGUAGAGUUAACUUUGCCCUCAGUAAGAAGGCCUAUCAGAUUGGCUACAUGCCUGAGACUGUGCUUAAAAGCUCUGACCUGCAGGAAGGUAUCAGUGGGGCUGGGUGGCUUGUACGAAAUGGUAGCUCGUAUGUGAACAAAAGUCAAGAGGUUGAGGGGCUAUCUAAAGAGUUUGUGAGUGAGAAAGCACCGCGCUCUGGUGUCGGUGUGGCUGCUAAUGGCUCACUGUUCCUGUUACAGGUAGAUGGUGAGGAGGACAAACACGAGGGGCUGGAUCUGUGGGAGUUUGCUGAGGUGGCAAUCUCAUGUGGUCUAGCCCAUCUUGUGAACCUGGAUGGUGGAGGGAGCAGUGUGUCUGUACAGAAUGGCAAAGUUAUUGACAGACCAACUUGUUUAGACAUCAGCUUGCUCUUAAUUGAGUAAUGAGUUCUCCAACAAGCAACCUCAAGAAGCCCAAGAGAAGUCCAUUGCCUGCAGCAGGCCGUCGGGAUGGCGUUCCCUUUCGACAGCCUGCAGAUUGUAGGCCCUCCCCUAGUCUAAAAGCUUCUGC